rnacentral:snRNA from 1 species
GAGUGAUCUGACUUCAACAUCUGUCACCCCACAGAUCACCAGGGUUCAUUGCUGUCUAGGUAGGAUUCCCUUUACAUUCUCAUGUGCACCCAAGUUGUGCAGUAAGUCAUAGAGUAUGACCUUCCCCUAUAGAGGACUAACAUUCUUCUGUCAAGGGUAUAUGAAUAGUUUUGCUUCCCUGCUAGAACAAGCUCCAUCUAAGAAAAUGCAAGGAGAUGGAUGCCAAAGGUUCUGGAAGCUAUAGGAAUGUUAU